rnacentral:lncRNA from 1 species
CGAUGCGUUUUGUAACACAUGCUUUCAGAGGACUACCACAAAGUCCUGCAUUAUUUGCAUAACUUUCAGGUGGAAAAGUGGCAUUGAUAAACCUUCGCACUGGCCCUGUCAACAUGUUGUUGGCAACAUUAAAGUUCUUGAGUCGAUUUAACGAGCCAAUUUCAGCUGGGAUCGGACCGUCUAGUUUAUUGCUGUCUAAUCUGACGGAAUUAAGAAAAGAGCAAUUUGCAAUGUUACUUGGGAUCGCGCCUGACAAUAGGUUGCUUGAGAGAUCAACCAUUAUAAUAAAUUCAAUUAAUUUUGAUAUAUCCGAAGGGAUGGUUCCAUAUAUCUCGUUGCUUGAAAGAUCUAGAGAAGUUAUAGAAGUGCAAUUUUUUAUGCCUCGCGGAAACUCACCUUUUAGUCUCAUGUCUGAAAGACUAAUGGAUAAAACUCUGCUCUCAUCAUCAUGCCAGCAUUGUAUUCCUGCAAAUCUGCAUAUGAAACCUUCUGUCUGUUUAUCGAACUUCCACGUAGUAUUCAAGAAAUUAAAAGGGUCUUCCAACGAAUCUUUUAUCGACAUCAAACAAUCUAGAGAAAAGCUGGAAAGUAGUAGGAAAAAUGGUAGUACUAAGUAAAGAAUAAUGUUGCAGUUGCACAUUAUGGAAAUGGAUUUUUUUUGUUUUAGAGUAUCCAUUGACUUGAUUAGAAGGAACAUGAAAUUUAUUGAGUUAUUUGUGGUGUAAUAUAGUACUAAUUAUUUUUUGCAAAAAUGGACACCAGUUGACUUGGGUCAAUUCCAUAUAAGGUAGAUUAAUUCCAACACAUUUUUCUCAAUAUCUUUGACUCCACAACUUGGGCUAAGUCGGUAGGAUAUGUUGUCUAGGUAUCGUCCUUUUCUAAAUCCAUGAAAAAACUGAGAUUAGAACAAGGCAAAAUUUAAGUGUCUAAAUGAGAUCUCCGAUCAAGAUUUUGUUGAGGUUUAUUUUCCCUGAUUUCUUACCAUAAAUAGGUUUUUCUUUAGGAAAAAGUUUUAAUAUUUUGAGUAGUCUUUUUCAUGUAGGAAAGGUUUUCGGAUUCUAUAAAUAUAGUCUUGUUCCUUCUAACUUAAUCAGCAUACACAAUGUAGUCCUAGGGUUUUGAGAGUUUCGGUUAUGGGGGAGAAUUUGUGAACCUCCUUGUAUUGCGAGUGAAUUGGUUGAGGUUAUUUCUCUCUAUAUUUUGUACUCUCAUAUUUGUAGUGGAUUGCUCAUUUGCUUUGUGGAUAUAGGUCAACUGAUCAAAUCACGUUAAAUUUUUGUGUCUUUUGGUAUAUUUCUUGUUUGUCUUCUUACUCAUGGUCUUUCAAGGUUUCUUUGCUAGCUUCCGCAUUACACCUAAUUAUUUUCGAUCCUAACAGUUUUAAGUGUUUGACCUUUUCUUUUUUGGUUUCUCGUCCGGUGGUCGUAGCCCACAUUAAAGCUCUGACUAUAUUCGGAUUACGCACUACAGGAUCCAUUUGAAGAUGGCGAGACCUUUGAUUAAAGAUGAAGCACUCAGACCACCAGUGCACCACAACUCAAGUUAAUAGUCGUGUUUGACCUUUAAUCAUUUAACAACUAUUAUUAUUAUGUGUCUCACAUGCAUCAACAAUUUUUUUGGGUCCAUCCUCACAUUGACGGCGGCUCACAAUUUUCCAUUUACAUACAUUCUCACUUGCACAUUGUUUUUCAUUGACACGGAAAUACAUCAACACAUUGGGAUUUGUCAUUUGUGAGGAUACUAUUGGUCUGUGGCAAUAAAAAUAUCUGAAAUCUUUUCUUCUUUUGUGCGGAUUUAGGAGAACUCAAGUGUCCUUGACAAUAUCAUAUCAUACUAUAUUAUUAUAAGAUAUAUGAUAAAUACUACUUAUAUAUCCUAUCAUAUCAUAUUUUCAUAUAUAUAUAUAUAUAUAUAUAUAUAUAUAGAUAUUUUAAUUACAUAAUGGUAGAAUUUGAGUGCUUAAGCCCUUUAAUAAUUAAAUUAUUAUUUUCUUAUAAAUGAGUAUAUUGAUAUUGUUUUUAAUCAUAAUCAUAAUUCUCAUAACGGAAAAAUUUGAAAAGUUAUGAUAGAUAAAAUAAUGUAUAUAUCAUCAUCAUAUCAUAUCAUCAUUAUCAAUCAUAUCAUUCAUAUAUUUUAUUAUUAUUAUUUUAUUUUAUUUUAUAUUACUAAAAGUGGAAAACUCCAAAGUGCAAAGUUGGAUUAUCAUUCUACCCCUACAUUCAAUCAUAUUAUUAUAAAAUAUUUAAUUAAUUAAAUAUUAAGUAGCUAAUCAUAUUAUAUUAUACUAAAAAUGAGAAGCUAUUAAAUUAAUAUAAUUCAUUCUUUUAAAAAACAAUGCAUUAAGAAUAUGAAGGUUUACUUUGUAUGGUUCAAUAAUAUGGGCUUGAUUCAAAUGCAGGUGUAAUGUAAUUUUUCAACAUCAAUGCAUUGAUUUCCUUAAUUAAUUUGAAAAAAUGAAUAAGUAAUUUGAAAAGUUACCUGUCAUGUAUAAUUAUAGAUCAGAUUCAUAUGUAGCAGUAUAAAAUGUAUUUGAACAGUCAUUAUAUUAUAUUACACUAAAUACUAAAAGUGGAAAAAUAACUUAUUCAAUAAUCACAAUAAAUAAAUAUUUAAAGAAAUGUGAGAAGCCACUCUUGUAAAUCCAAGAAUCACUAAAUUAUAAUAUGUGUUUAAAGGAUAAUUAUAUAGUAGUAUUUAUUAGGAGUGUUCUUUACAUUUGUUACGUUGAAUUUCUUUUGGAACUCUAAACAUCAACAAAUUAAUUAUAAGCAGUUUCAAUUACAUGUAUCUAGUUACAAUUUAUCUUCUAUUGGAGACACCAAUAGUCUUGGUUGCUAAUUGAUGAUGUGGAGGAAUUAAUAUCUUCUCACAAGAUAAAUGUACAAAAAUAUACUUUGAUAGUUGUGAAUAUUAUUCAUUAUAAAUUAAAGAAUUUGAUGAAGUGGCUAAUAGGUUGAGUAUAGUCAUCGACGUUCUCCUCUCACACGAACGACACAGGUAAAUCAUAUUUUUGAUGUUCUUGAGCUUCUCUUUUAAUCAACUAUUUCUAUUUCUUCCACAUACUUAAAAGUAUUGUCCCGAUUAAAAAUUUGCAUACUUUAUGUCAUUAUAUUUCUCUUUGUAGAUGGACUAUAAAUCUAUCACCAGUCUGUGCAAUUCUUUUACAGAAUCUUAUCGAAAAUUGAUAUGAGAUGAAGUUGAAAGGAUCAUUCUUGACCCAUCUGUUUUAUCGGGAGAGUCAGGUAAGGCUAAAAGGGUUCUUUCAAACCCUCUUUAACUGAAAAUUACAAUAUUUAUACAUAUGGUUUAAAUAGUUUUUUAUGUAUAUAUAGUAGAGGUUGAACCUUCGUGUGUUUAGUUCUUCAUAUUUUAAAUCCCUUUUAGUGAAAACUUAAGUCUGGCACUAUUUUAUUUAAUAUGUUUUUCUCACUGUUGUUUCUAUUAUUAAUGUCUUAAAAUCAUAUUUUAUGUGGUCACUUUUGUACUAAAUGACUCAUGGUUCAUGUUGACUAUUUGUUGCAAUUUAGUGAUUUUUUACAUAUAGAUUUAUGCUCAAUAUUGGAAGUGUCGGAAACUAUAAUUUUGAAUCAAUCCUAACUUGGAUACACGUGCAACACACGUAUCCAGAAACCAGUUAUACUAUAAGUGGGAAGAAUUUUAGGCAAAAGUUAGAUUACUAUUUUACCCCUACACUAAAUCAUAAUCUAAUUAAUUAGUAAUAUUAGUAAACUUGGGUCGUUCCCCGAACCCUACGCGAAAACUGUUACCUGAAGAAACAAGUCUUCCACACCAUCUUCUAUUAGAGAGCUUUGCUAUUAGUUUCGAUUAUGCCCGAAUCUGAAUGUGCAUCUCAAUGAUUAAUUUAUUGUGAUUAGAUUUGAAUAUUAAAUGAUUAACAUUGUUUGUCUUUUAAUAUCUAAAUGUGCAUGAUUUAUUUAUUUAUUAACAUAAUAAAUAGGGAAAAGGGUCAAAACAAGUUCCAAGCUGAUAAAUUAUUUAUACAUAUGAAAUGGUUCUUCAUCACAAAUACAUUGGUUUGAGCCAAAGCUACACGUCCCUUUGGUGGCUCCGCCCCUGCUUGUAGUCCAAGUGCAAUUGUAUUUCAGAACCCCCUGUUUGGUCAUGGACUCGAGCAAUCGCAGCAACAGUCUGAUACACUUGUUGCAUCGUUGGCCUUUGAUCCGGAAUAAAUUUCAUGCAAUCACUUGCAAGUUCAAGUAGUUGCAUUACCAUAUUAUCAAAUCCUUGCCCUAACAGUACUUUAUCAACAUCAAGAGGACUGGCAAAAGAGCUGCUCGACAAAUUUAGACUCGAGCAGCUCAAUAUGUAAGAUUCUUUCCUCGUUAAAAGCUCGAGAAGCACAACCCCAAAUCGAUAAACAUCUUUUUUAUAUGUUGUAAAGUCUAAACACUCGACUAUUGGAAAUAGACUCAAGUUUGAAUCUAUGUCAUUUGUUUUUGCAAGUGUUGCCUCCCAAAAAUUGGAUAACUUAGGAUCGAAAUUUUCAUCGAGCAAGAUACAUUGUGUGCUUAUGUUACCAUGCACAACAUGGAAAUUUCCACCAUCAUGAAGCCAAGUCAGGGCUUUCGCGACACCUAAAACAAUUUUAACCCUUAGAGGAAAGUCCAAGAGUCUUGCCUUGUCGUCGGUUGAAUGCAACCACUCAUGUAAGUUUCCAUUAGGCAUGUAUUUGUAAACCAGAAUUCGCUCGUCCCUCUCAGAACAAAAGCCGAUUAAAGGCACCAAAUUUGGAUGCCUCAGACUACCCAGAGUUGUGAUCUCGGAAACAACUCUUCCUCCAAAUCCUCUGAAACAUGGAAUCUCUUUAUGGCAACUGUCCAUCCAUUUGGGACCAGUGCUUUGUACACUUUCCCUAGCAUUCCGUUCCCGAUUUCAUUGUCUUGGCUGAAUUCAAAGUCGCUUUUGAUAGUUCCAUAAAACUCAUUCUUGUAACAAUCUUCUCCAUCUUUAAAAUCUGAGGAAGAGAACAUAGCUACCAUAUUUAGCAAUAGUUUGAUUAAGUAGUACUCUUUUUGUCUCAAUUUAUCUGACAUAUAUAGUUUGACUGGACACAAAUUUUAAGACAAAAGAAGACAAUUUUUAAACUUGUAGUCUUAAACGUCCCAUAACACUUGUAUGCCUAUAAAAGCUUGCGACUGAGAGUAAAAUGAUAAGUUUAAGGAGGCAUUUACCCGUAAUAUUUUUCACUUUAUUGGGAAAAAAGACGGUUGAAAGCAAGCGUAAUGUUUACCUUUGGAUCGUUGUUUACUUCUUCUCCUCGAGGCGAUUCAUUUCCAUCAAUCACCAUUACCUUUGUUCUCUUGUUGAUGAAUAGAAGCAUCUUCUUUACGCCAGGUAAACCAAAGAAAAAAAGAUAUAUACCAAGUACAGUAAAAAGUGACCAACCAGUCACAAAACCACACGCAAACUGUACACGACGGUUCAAUACAGUACUUAACAUGAACCCGACGUGUUUUGUACCACAUAAUUCCAGAGGAGGACCACAAAGUCCUGGAUUAUUUGCAUAGCUUUCAGCUGGAAAAGUUGAAUUAAUAAACCUUGGCACUGGCCCUACCAACAUGUUGUUGGCAACAUUAAAGUUCUUGAGUCGACCUAAAAGGGCAAUUUCUGGUGGGAUUGGACCUUGUAGUUUAUUGUUGUCUAAUCUGAGGGAAUUAAGAAAAGAGCAAUUUGCAAUGUCACUUGGGAUCGCGCCUGAAAAUUGGUUGCUUGAGAGAUCAAGGGUUAUAGUAAAUCUGAUUAAUUUUGAU